rnacentral:rRNA from 1 species
CCUACGGGUGGCAGCAGUGAGGAAUAUUGGUCAAUGGACGAGAGUCUGAACCAGCCAAGUAGCGUGAAGGAUGACGGCCCUAUGGGUUGUAAACUUCUUUUAUAUGGGAAUAAAAUGUUCCACGUGUGGGAUUUUGUAUGUACCAUAUGAAUAAGGAUCGGCUAACUCCGUGCCAGCAGCCGCGGUAAUACGGAGGAUCCGAGCGUUAUCCGGAUUUAUUGGGUUUAAAGGGAGCGUAGGUGGAUUGUUAAGUCAGUUGUGAAAGUUUGCGGCUCAACCGUAGAAUUGCAGUUGAAACUGGCAGUCUUGAGUGCAGUAGAGGUAGGCGGAAUUCGUGGUGUAGCGGUGAAAUGCUUAGAUAUCACGAAGAACUCCGAUUGCGAAGGCAGUUCACUGGACUGCAACUGACGCUGAGGCUCGAAAGUGUGGGUAUCAAACAGGAUUAGAUACCCGAGUAGUC